CCGACUGAGCUAUCCGGGCGCUCUUGGGGAGCUCUGCUCUUCUGUUUACUUGAUAUAAUUCUAAUAAAUUACUUCUCUGGUUGAACCAUAUUUAAAGUAUCUUUUUUAGCAAGAUUUAAAAAAAGCAUUUAUUUUUCUGUUUCUCCAUUUCCUUAAGACGUGUUCUUGAAGUUCUUUCAUAUUUCAUAUUUGAUCAAUUGCCAGUAUCUACUAAACUCUGAAACGAAAUGGUAGCGACUUAUGGGAAAGGGCAACCAACAUUAAACUUUCAGACAUAGAGCUGGGACCUCUUUUUGUUACAAUUCUUGUGUCUUCCGUUUAUCACUUCGCCAAUAGGACCUCUUAAUUUUAGUUACUCCACGGAACUAGAUGACCGUAUCUUUCUCUUUAAUGAAAAAUACAUUUCCAUUAACUAGAUGAUACAGCUGUUAGAUGAGCAUCCCUCAGCACAAAAGAAGGAAAGACGCAUUUGAUUCACGAAUAGAGCAGCUAAUAUAGGAAAAUAGAAGUGACAGUGGAAAGGUGGGUCCAAAUUUAGACGAGAGAGAAGGAGCUUAGACUUUUAAUUUAGGUUUUGACCGAAUUUUUGCUUUUCCCUGCCUUCUACACACCUUGCAGUUUCCAGGUCAGAUUCACAAAAUGAGCCCUUGUAAAGCAGUGUCAGCGUGCACCAGUGGGAACAACGUGGAGUAUUAGCAACAUAAACCUCCAGAUCAGCCUAGUUUUUCCCAAAAUCAGUUUCAGCAGCCCUGACGCAUGGGGUGGGGAAGGCAGGAUUAUGAAAUUCCAAAGACUGAUAAGGGAAUUCAUUUUUGUUUCUGGGAACUGGAGGCUUCUGAACACAAUGAACAACAAAACCGCUCAGCCUUGGUUGGAGGAAUUUCUUUCCCACAAUUGUCCGAUUCUUUUAGAACAAAGACCAACAAAUUGUGUGAUCCUGAGCAGUCCUGGGUUUCCACAUCUGUAAAAUGAGGGAAAUUGAUCAAAUGACCUGUAAGAUACCUUCUAAAUCUGAAGUUUUACCACGCUCUUCCUUCUCCCACAGUGAAUAAGAUUAGAAGGAACAGACUCGAAAUGCAACAGGAAGGAAUGAUUUAACUGCAUAUUUACUGAUCAUCUAUUAUGGCUUAGGUCCUGCACUAGCUCUGGAGUCAGAGAUCUGUAGGACACGGAUCCUGCUCACAGCCUGGGAAAGAAGGCAGACACUUCAAUAGACUGGAUAGGAUUGACCCAUCAAGUGGCUUGGUGAAUACCUACGAUUUCCACAGCAGUAAACUAGACACCGUGGGAAGGAAAACACUGAACCUGGAAGGAGAGCGGGGAGUGUCAACGGGGGGGUGAAGAAUGGUGAACAGGGCUCUUGCUUCCUCUGUACGCCCAUCUGGGUGAUCUCACGCAUGCCCACAGCUUCGCCGACCAUCUAUAAUCUGAAGAGUCCAAAAUUCCUGUCAUCUGUCCGUGCCUCUGCUCUGACUUUAGCUUCAGAAAUCCACUGUCUGUUAGACAGCCUCACCUAAACAUUCCACAGGUUCCUCAAACCCAACAUGUGCAAAAUUAAACUCACGUUUGCUCCCCCAACACCUGGGCCCUGUCUUACGUAGUCCCCCACUUAGUGCUGGCACCACCUGCCACCAAUUCCUAUGGCAUCAAGCGGAGAGGGAUUCUAGAUUCCUGC